UACGGAGGGGGCUAGCGUUAUUCGGAAUCACUGGGCGUAAAGGGUGCGUAGGCGGGUCUUUAAGUCCGAGGUGAAAUCCUGGAGCUCAAAUCCAGAACUGCCUUUGAUACUGAGGAUCUUGAGUACGGGAGAGGUGUGUGGAACUCCGAGUGUAGAGGUGAAAUUCGUAGAUAUUCGGAAGAACACCAGUGGCGAAGGCGACACACUGGCCCGUUACUGACGCUGAGGCGCGAAAGCGUGUGGAGCAAACAGG
rnacentral:rRNA from 1 species